rnacentral:rRNA from 1 species
CCGGAUUUUUUGGGGCGUAAAGCGUCCGCAGGUGGUUUUUUCAAGUCUGCUGUUAAAGCGCAGAGCUUUAACUCUGUAACGGCGGUGGAAACUGAGAGACUAGAGUAUGGUAGGGGUUUGCGGGAAUUCCCAGUGUAGCGGUGAAAUGCGUAGAUAUUGGGAAGAACACCAGCGGCGAAAGCGCGCAACUGGGGCCAUUACUGACACUCAUGGACGAAAGCUAGGGGAGCGAAAGGGAUUAGAUACCCCUGUAGUCCUAGCUGUAAACGAUGGGUACUAGGUGUUGACCGUAUCGACCCGGUCAGUGCCGUAGCUAACGCGUUAAGUACCCCGCCUGGGGAGUAUGCACGCAAGUGUGAAACUC